rnacentral:rRNA from 1 species
GAGUUUGAUCCUGGCUCAGAGCGAACGCUGGCGGCACGCUUAACACAUGCAAGUCGAACGAAGGCCCGGAGCUUGCUCCGGAUACCUUAGUGGCGGACGGGUGAGUAACGCGUGGGAAUCUACCUUACGAUGGGGAAUAACAGUUGGAAACGACUGCUAAUACCGCAUACGCCCUUCGGGGGAAAGGCUUCGGCCGUCGUUAGAGGAUCCCGCGUUCGAUUAGCUAGUUGGUGAGGUAAUGGCUCACCAAGGCGACGAUCGAUAGCUGGUCUGAGAGGAUGAUCAGCCACACUGGAACUGAGACACGGUCCAGACUCCUACGGGAGGCAGCAGUGGGGAAUAUUGGACAAUGGGGGAAACCCUGAUCCAGCGAUGCCGCGUGAGUGAAGAAGGCCUUAGGGUUGUAAAACUCUUUCACCCGUGAAGAUGAUGACUGUAGCGGGAGAAGAAGCUCCGGCUAACUCCGUGCCAGCAGCCGCGGUAAUACGGAGGGGGCUAGCGUUGCUCGGAAUUACUGGGCGUAAAGCGCGCGUAGGCGGCGAACACAGUCAGACGUGAAAGCCCGGAGCUCAACUCCGGAACUGCCUUCAAAACUUUUUAGCUAGAGUAUGAUAGAGGAAAGCAGAAUUUCUAGUGUAGAGGUGAAAUUCGUAGAUAUUAGAAAGAAUACCAAUUGCGAAGGCAGCUUUCUGGAUCAUUACUGACACUGAGGAACGAAAGCAUGGGUAGCGAAGAGGAUUAGACACCCUCGUAGUCCAUGCCGUAAACGAUGUGUGUUAGACGUUGGAAAUUUAUUUUCAGUGUCGCAGCGAAAGCAAUAAACACACCGCCUGGGGAGUACGACCGCAAGGUUAAAACUCAAAUGAAUUGACGGGGGCCCGCACAAGCGGUGGAGCAUGUGGUUUAAUUCGAAGCAACGCGCAGAACCUUACCAGCCCUUGACAUGGUCGUCGCGACUCUAAGAGAUUAGAGUUUUCGGUUCGGCCGGACGAAACACAGGUGCUGCAUGGCUGUCGUCAGCUCGUGUCGUGAGAUGUUGGGUUAAGUCCCGCAACGAGCGCAACCCUUACUUUUAGUUGCUACCAUUCAGUUGGGCACUCUAAAAGAACUGCCAGUGAUAAGCUGGAGGAAGGUGGGGAUGACGUCAAGUCCUCAUGGCCCUUACGUGUUGGGCUACACACGUGCUACAAUGGUAUCUACAACAGGAAGCAAAACAGCGAUGUUAAGCAAAUCCCGAAAAGAUACCUCAGUUCGGAUUGCACUCUGCAACUCGAGUGCAUGAAGCUGGAAUUACUAGUAAUCGUGGAUCAGCGUGCCACGGUGAAUACGUUCCCGGGUCUUGUACACACCGCCCGUCACACCAUGGGAGUUGGUUCUACCUUAAGGCAAAGCUUAAAACCUUUGACCACGGUAUAGUCAGCGACUGGGGUGAAGUCGUAACAAGGUAACC